ensembl:lncRNA
GUAAUGACCAAUGUUGAUUGAUUUCUAAUGUGAAUAUAAUUACACAACAUAGCGGAAUUAAAGGGAAAACCCACAUUUUUAAUUGUUGAGUUUUUAGGGACUGCGAGUGGGGGCGAAGGGGGUGGAAAGGGAGAAACAAACCAACUCUCCUCUGCGCAAACGAUGAGAAGGUACAGAUUAAUGACUCCAGCAGGAGACGGGGAGUUUGGUCCAACAGAAGAGCAAGUCAAAUGCGGUUAACUCAGGGAAUAGUUAAUGCACACUCAACAUUGCAAAACAUAAUUUCCCUUUGUCUGCCCCCCAGGUACCUCUGGAAGCCAAAUAAGUUCGUUUGGAAGCGGCGGUUCCCGAGGAGCCAGCGGAGGCUGGGCUUCGUGCAUCGCCGGGCAGCCGGCUCCCUGCAGCCCCGCCGGCGGCUGCGCGGCUCCGAGGCAACGCCGCUGCCGAGCGGGGAGAGCUGCGCCCUGCCCGGGGUCAGGGGGGCGGCUCGCCCAGCUCUGGCAGCGGCAGUGCCGCCCCCGGCAGCGAGAGCCCUGCCCGCAUCCUUCCUGCGAGCUGGAGAUCGGCGAGUGCUGGAGAGCCCCGGCUGGAGCAGUGCGAAGGGCUGCAACAGGCUGCCUGAUCAUCCAGGGGUAGGAGGCAGUGAGCUGAAGGUAAGUGCUUUCCAUCUAGAACAGAACAUUCCUUGGUUGGGGUGA